CCACUCUCGGGGUCGCAUCUGGAGAAUAUCUAGUACUCUACCAGCCUCGGCUACGGGAGGGAGAGUCAAGCAGAGGUAUUCCCAUUCCAUUCCUAGCUUGGGCAGUGGCUAGCGAGUGGAAGGCAAUCUGCUCACCC